rnacentral:rRNA from 1 species
UACGAAAGGUGCAAGCGUUGUUCGGAAUUACUGGGCGUAAAGCGCUCGUAGGCGGAAAUUCAGGUCGAUUGUGAAAGCCCAGAGCUCAACUUUGGAAUUGCAGUCGAAACCGUCUUUCUUGAAUACCUGAGAGGGUGGGGGAAUUCCUAGUGGAGAAGUGAAAUUCGUAGAGAUUAGGAGGAACACCAGAGGCGAAGGCGCCUGCCUGGCAGUGUAUUGACGCUGAGGAGCGAAAGUGUGGGGAGCAAACAGG